AUUGAACGCUGGCGGCAGGCCUAACACAUGCAAGUCGAGCGGAGCGGCGGACGGGUGAGUAAUGCCUAGGAAUCUGCCUGGUAGUGGGGGAUAACGUCCGGAAACGGGCGCUAAUACAGCAUACUCUCAAUUGAGCCUCGGUUGGAUUAGCUAGGUGGUGGGGUAAAGGCCUACCAAGGCGACGAUCCGUAACUGGUCUGAGAGGAUGAUCAGGCACACUGGAACUGAGACACGGUCCAGACUCCUACGGGAGGCAGCAGUGGGGAAUAUUGGGCAAUGGGCGAAAGCCUGAUCGAGCCAUGCCGCGUGUGUGAAGAAGGUCUUCGGAUUGUAAAGCACUUUAAGUUGGGAGGCGUUACCAACAGAGUAAGCAACGGCUAACUUCGUGCCAGCAGCCGCGGUAAUUC
rnacentral:rRNA from 1 species